CUGCUGCCUCCCGUAGGAGUCUGGUUCGUGUCUCAGUACCAGUGUGGGGGACCUUCCUCUCAGAACCCCUACGCAUCGUCGUCUUGGUGGUCCGUUACACCGCCAACUAACUAAUGCGACGCAUGCCCAUCCGCCACCGGAAUCAACCUUUGGCACCAACAGGAUGUCCCGUCGAUGCAUUAUGCCGUAUUAGACGGAAUUUCUCCCGAUUAUCCGGCUGUGGCAGGCAGGUUGCAUACGUGUUACUCACCCG
rnacentral:rRNA from 1 species